rnacentral:rRNA from 1 species
UUAAGCGACUAAGCGUACACGGUGGAUGCCCUGGCAGUCAGAGGCGAUGAAGGACGUGCUAAUCUGCGAUAAGCGUCGGUAAGGUGAUAUGAACCGUUAUAACCGGCGAUUUCCGAAUGGGGAAACCCAGUGUGUUUCGACACACUAUCAUUAACUGAAUCCAUAGGUUAAUGAGGCGAACCGGGGGAACUGAAACAUCUAAGUACCCCGAGGAAAAGAAAUCAACCGAGAUUCCCCCAGUAGCGGCGAGAGAACGGGGAGCAGCCCAGAGCCUGAAUCAGUGUGUGUGUUAGUGGAAGCGUCUGGAAAGGCGCGCGAUACAGGGUGACAGCCCCGUACACAAAAAUGCACAUGCUGUGAGCUCGAUGAGUAGGGCGGGACACGUGGUAUCCUGUCUGAAUAUGGGGGGACCAUCCUCCAAGGCUAAAUACUCCUGACUGACCGAUAGUGAACCAGUACCGUGAGGGAAAGGCGAAAAGAACCCCGGCGAGGGGAGUGAAAAAGAACCUGAAACCGUGUACGUACAAGCAGUGGGAGCACGCUUAGGCGUGUGACUGCGUACCUUUUGUAUAAUGGGUCAGCGACUUAUAUUCUGUAGCAAGGUUAACCGAAUAGGGGAGCCGAAGGGAAACCGAGUCUUAACUGGGCGUUAAGUUGCAGGGUAUAGACCCGAAACCCGGUGAUCUAGCCAUGGGCAGGUUGAAGGUUGGGUAACACUAACUGGAGGACCGAACCGACUAAUGUUGAAAAAUUAGCGGAUGACUUGUGGCUGGGGGUGAAAGGCCAAUCAAACCGGGAGAUAGCUGGUUCUUCCCGAAAGCUAUUUAGGUAGCGCCUCGUGAAUUCAUCUCCGGGGGUAGAGCACUGUUUCGGCAAGGGGGUCAUCCCGACUUACCAACCCGAUGCAAACUGCGAAUACCGGAGAAUGUUAUCACGGGAGACACACGGCGGGUGCUAACGUCCGUCGUGAAGAGGGAAACAACCCAGACCGCCAGCUAAGGUCCCAAAGUCAUGGUUAAGUGGGAAACGAUGUGGGAAGGCCCAGACAGCCAGGAUGUUGGCUUAGAAGCAGCCAUCAUUUAAAGAAAGCGUAAUAGCUCACUGGUCGAGUCGGCCUGCGCGGAAGAUGUAACGGGGCUAAACCAUGCACCGAAGCUGCGGCAGCGACGCUUAUGUGUUGUUGGGUAGGGGAGCGUUCUGUAAGCCUGUGAAGGUGUGCUGUGAGGCAUGCUGGAGGUAUCAGAAGUGCGAAUGCUGACAUAAGUAACGAUAAAGCGGGUGAAAAGCCCGCUCGCCGGAAGACCAAGGGUUCCUGUCCAACGUUAAUCGGGGCAGGGUGAGUCGACCCCUAAGGCGAGGCCGAAAGGCGUAGUCGAUGGGAAACAGGUUAAUAUUCCUGUACUUGGUGUUACUGCGAAGGGGGGACGGAGAAGGCUAUGUUGGCCGGGCGACGGUUGUCCCGGUUUAAGCGUGUAGGCUGGUUUUCCAGGCAAAUCCGGAAAAUCAAGGCUGAGGCGUGAUGACGAGGCACUACGGUGCUGAAGCAACAAAUGCCCUGCUUCCAGGAAAAGCCUCUAAGCAUCAGGUAACAUCAAAUCGUACCCCAAACCGACACAGGUGGUCAGGUAGAGAAUACCAAGGCGCUUGAGAGAACUCGGGUGAAGGAACUAGGCAAAAUGGUGCCGUAACUUCGGGAGAAGGCACGCUGAUAUGUAGGUGAAGCGACUUGCUCGUGGAGCUGAAAUCAGUCGAAGAUACCAGCUGGCUGCAACUGUUUAUUAAAAACACAGCACUGUGCAAACACGAAAGUGGACGUAUACGGUGUGACGCCUGCCCGGUGCCGGAAGGUUAAUUGAUGGGGUUAGCGCAAGCGAAGCUCUUGAUCGAAGCCCCGGUAAACGGCGGCCGUAAC